UACGUAGGGGGCAAGCGUUAUCCGGAUUUACUGGGUGUAAAGGGAGCGUAGACGGCGGGGCAAGUCUGGAGUGAAAGGCCGGGGCCCAACCCCGGGACCGCUCUGGAAACUGCCCGGCUGGAGUGCUGGAGAGGCAAGCGGAAUUCCUAGUGUAGCGGUGAAAUGCGUAGAUAUACGGAGGAACACCAGUGGCGAAGGCGGCCUGCUGGACAUUAACUGACGUUGAGGCUCGAAAGCGUGGGGAGCAAACAGG
rnacentral:rRNA from 1 species